rfam:Phalacrocorax carbo contig81039, whole genome shotgun sequence.
GUCUCUGUGGCACAAUUGGUUAGCGUGUUUGGCUGUUAACAAGAAGGCUGGUGGUUUGAGCCCACCCAGGGACG